GACGAACGCUGGCGGCGUGCCUAAUACAUGCAAGUUGAGCGCUGAAGGUUGGUACUUGUCCCGACUGGAUGAGCAGCGAACGGGUGAGUAACGCGUGGGGAAUCUGCCUUUGAGCGGGGGACAACAUUUGGAAACGAAUGCUAAUACCGCAUAAAAACUUUAAACACAAGUUUUAAGUUUGAAAGAUGCAAUUGCAUCACUCAAAGAUGAUCCCGCGUUGUAUUAGCUAGUUGGUGAGGUAAAGGCUCACCAAGGCGAUGAUACAUAGCCGACCUGAGAGGGUGAUCGGCCACAUUGGGACUGAGACACGGCCCAAACCCCUACGGGAGGCAGCAGUAGGGAAUCUUCGGCAAUGGACGAAAGUCUGACCGAGCAACGCCGCGUGAGUGAAGAAGGUUUUCGGAUCGUAAAACUCUGUUGGUAGAGAAGAACGUUGGUGAGAGUGGAAAGCUCAUCAAGUGACGGUAACUACCCAGAAAGGGACGGCUAACUACGUG
rnacentral:rRNA from 1 species